rnacentral:rRNA from 1 species
ACGGGUGAGUAAUGCCUAGGAAUCUGCCUGGUAGUGGGGGACAACGUUUCGAAAGGAACGCUAAUACCGCAUACGUCCUACGGGAGAAAGCAGGGGACCUUCGGGCCUUGCGCUAUCAGAUGAGCCUAGGUCGGAUUAGCUAGUUGGUGAGGUAAUGGCUCACCAAGGCUACGAUCCGUAACUGGUCUGAGAGGAUGAUCAGUCACACUGGAACUGAGACACGGUCCAGACUCCUACGGGAGGCAGCAGUGGGGAAUAUUGGACAAUGGGCGAAAGCCUGAUCCAGCCAUGCCGCGUGUGUGAAGAAGGUCUUCGGAUUGUAAAGCACUUUAAGUUGGGAGGAAGGGUUGUAGAUUAAUACUCUGCAAUUUUGACGUUACCGACAGAAUAAGCACCGGCUAACUCUGUGCCAGCAGCCGCGGUAAUACAGAGGGUGCAAGCGUUAAUCGGAAUUACUGGGCGUAAAGCGCGCGUAGGUGGUUCGUUAAGUUGGAUGUGAAAUCCCCGGGCUCAACCUGGGAACUGCAUCCAAAACUGGCGAGCUAGAGUAUGGUAGAGGGUGGUGGAAUUUCCUGUGUAGCGGUGAAA